rnacentral:rRNA from 1 species
UACGUAGGGUGCGAGCGUUAAUCGGAUUUACUGGGCGUAAAGCGUGCCCAGGCGGCCCGUUAAGACAGGUGUGAAAUCCCUGGGCUCAACCUAGGAAUUGCGCUUGUGACUGGCGGGCUCGAGUACGGUAGAGGGGGGUGGAAUUCCUGGUGUAGCAGUGAAAUGCGUAGAGAUCAGGAGGAACACCGAUGGCGAAGGCAGCCCCCUGGGCCUGUACUGACGCUCAUGCACGAAAGCGUGGGGAGCAAACAGG